rnacentral:rRNA from 1 species
AUUGAACGCUGGCGGCAGGCCUAACACAUGCAAGUCGAGCGGAUGAAGGGAGCUUGCUCCUGGAUUCAGCGGCGGACGGGUGAGUAAUGCCUAGGAAUCUGCCUGGUAGUGGGGGAUAACGUCCGGAAACGGGCGCUAAUACCGCAUACGUCCUGAGGGAGAAAGUGGGGGAUCUUCGGACCUCACGCUAUCAGAUGAGCCUAGGUCGGAUUAGCUAGUUGGUGGGGUAAAGGCCUACCAAGGCGACGAUCCGUAACUGGUCUGAGAGGAUGAUCAGUCACACUGGAACUGAGACACGGUCCAGACUCCUUCGGGAGGCAGCAGUGGGGAAUAUUGGACAAUGGGCGAAAGCCUGAUCCAGCCAUGCCGCGUGUGUGAAGAAGGUCUUCGGAUUGUAAAGCACUUUAAGUUGGGAGGAAGGGCAGUAAGUUAAUACCUUGCUGUUUUGACGUUACCAACAGAAUAAGCACCGGCUAACUUCGUG